rnacentral:rRNA from 1 species
GGCGAACGCUGGCGGCAGGCUUAACACAUGCAAGUCGAGCGGGCAUAGCAAUAUGUCAGCGGCAGACGGGUGAGUAACGCGUGGGAACGUACCUUUUGGUUCGGAACAACACAGGGAAACUUGUGCUAAUACCGGAUAAGCCCUUACGGGGAAAGAUUUAUCGCCGAAAGAUCGGCCCGCGUCUGAUUAGCUAGUUGGUGAGGUAAUGGCUCACCAAGGCGACGAUCAGUAGCUGGUCUGAGAGGAUGAUCAGCCACAUUGGGACUGAGACACGGCCCAAACUCCUACGGGAGGCAGCAGUGGGGAAUAUUGGACAAUGGGCGCAAGCCUGAUCCAGCCAUGCCGCGUGAGUGAUGAAGGCCCUAGGGUUGUAAAGCUCUCUUGUGCGGGAAGAUAAUGACGGUACCGCAAGAAUAAGCCCCGGCUAACUUCGUGCCAGCAGCCGCGGUAAGAC